GACGAACGCUGGCGGCGUGCCUAAUACAUGCAAGUAGAACGCACAGUUUAUACCGUAGCUUGCUACACCAUAGACUGUGAGUUGCGAACGGGUGAGUAACGCGUAGGUAACCUGCCUGGUAGCGGGGGAUAACUAUUGGAAACGAUGGCUAAUACCGCAUAAUAUUAAUUAUUGCAUGAUAAUUAAUUGAAAGGUGCAAUUGCACCACUACCAGAUGGACCUGCGUUGUAUUAGCUAGUAGGUGAGGUAACGGCUCACCUAGGCGACGAUACAUAGCCGACCUGAGAGGGUGAUCGGCCACACUGGGACUGAGACACGGCCCAGACUCCUACGGGAGGCAGCAGUAGGGAAUCUUCGGCAAUGGACGAAAGUCCGACCGAGCAACGCCGCGUGAGUGAAGAAGGUUUUCGGAUCGUAAAGCUCUGUUGUAAGAGAAGAACGGGUGUGAGAGUGGAAAGUUCACACUGUGACGGUAUCUUACCAGAAAGGGACGGCUAACUACGUG
rnacentral:rRNA from 1 species